UACAGAGGGGGCAAGCGUUAUUCGGAAUUAUUGGGCGUAAAGGGCGCGUAGGCGGCUUGGCAAGUGGAAGGUGAAAUCCCUCGGCUCAACCGGGAGGGUGCGCCGAAUACUGAACGGCUAGAGUGCGGGAGAGGAGAGUGGAAUUCCUGGUGUAGCGGUGAAAUGCGUAGAUAUCAGGAGGAACACCGGUGGUGUAGACGGCUCUCUGGACCGUAACUGACGCUGAGGCACGAAAGCGUGGGUAGCAAACAGG
rnacentral:rRNA from 1 species